rnacentral:lncRNA from 1 species
AUAACAUCUGUAACGGAUGAUUACAAUAAAUACUGCGUUCUUACAUUUAGUGUUAUGAUAAAUGUGUGACUAGGAGAAUUGGGCAUUUUUAAUUGUAUUUUGUUUUCGUUGCAAAAUUAUUUUAAUGAAUCUUCUAUUUAUUGAGGUAAAGAUGACUUGUUUUUCCUUCGUAGCAAUCAUUGUGUUUUGAAUGUCAUUAAAGUGCAUAUACAAAAACUGAUACUUAAAAUGAUUAGCUGCAAUAAUCUUUAAAAUACUGUGCUGAGUUAAAACGUGUUUUGUUUUGUUUUUUCCUGCAGGUGAAGUUUCUUUAAGCAAAGUUCCAGAGCAGUUUUUGCCUGAAGAACAGAGGGCAGCUCUACGAGGGAGUACAACGGAGACUAAAGUCCUUUGGAAGAGCCAUUUUUCCUGGACCUGCUGCAUAAGCCUGACUGGUUGUUGAGGAGAGGAGCCGUGAUCCCUGCCUGGAGUGUCGGGCUGAUGAGCUGCAAA